rnacentral:rRNA from 1 species
UACGUAGGGGGCUAGCGUUGCUCGGAAUCACUGGGCGUAAAGCGCGCGUAGGCGGACCUGCAAGUCGGGGGUGAAAGCCCGAGGCUCAACCUCGGAACUGCCUUCGAUACUGCGGGUCUCGAGUCCGGGAGAGGUGAGUGGAAUUCCUAGUGUAGAGGUGAAAUUCGUAGAUAUUAGGAAGAACACCAGUGGCGAAGGCGGCUCACUGGCCCGGUACUGACGCUGAGGCGCGAAAGCGUGGGGAGCAAACAGG